rnacentral:antisense_RNA from 1 species
CGUCGAGGCCGCCAGCCCCUCCCCCAGCAUGUUUGGGCUAAGCCGCCUCCUUUCCGCCUGCGUUGGAGAGGUACCAGAAGGAAUGAAAGGACUGGGGCUUGUCUCCAUGGCAACUGAAAGAAAGAGAGAAAAGUUGGUCACCUCCAGGACUGAGACCCUGACCCCUUCCAAGCAUCCCCACUACCAAAGGCUGCCCAAGCCCGGAAGGAUCCCAUCCUGUUCUGUAUUCUGAGGUCACUUCCUCACUCCGUCAAAUUUCACUGGACUGUGGGCUUAUUAAAAGUGCCUCCCUAUUAGCGGGGCGUGGUGGCCCAUGCCUAUAAUCCCAGCUACUUGGGAAGCAGAGGCAGGAAAAUCGCUUGAACCCGGGUGGCGGAGGUUGCAGUGACCCAACAUUGUGCAACAAGAGCGAAACUCCGUCUCAAAAAAAAUAAAAAA